UACGAAGGGGGCUAGCGUUGCUCGGAAUCACUGGGCGUAAAGGGUGCGUAGGCGGGUCUUUAAGUCAGGGGUGAAAUCCUGGAGCUCAACUCCAGAACUGCCUUUGAUACUGAAGAUCUUGAGUUCGGGAGAGGUGAGUGGAACUGCGAGUGUAGAGGUGAAAUUCGUAGAUAUUCGCAAGAACACCAGUGGCGAAGGCGGCUCACUGGCCCGAUACUGACGCUGAGGCACAAAAGCGUGGGGAGCAAAUAGG
rnacentral:rRNA from 1 species